rnacentral:lncRNA from 1 species
UCUUCCCUAUCAGAUCUAUCGCCCAACCUUUGAACGGCCAAGGUUUAAUAAUAGGUGCCAUCUCUCGUGCUGGCGCCCUUUGUAUUGGACCAUAUUUUUGGCAUGCUAAACAACUUUUUGCGUACUGAACGCAUAGUUCUCCCAUCUUUGGCCAAAAAUAUCCACUCCUAAUAAUUAACCACCUCAUCCUUUGGCCAGCUU